AGUGGCGGACGGGUGAGUAACGCGUGAGAAUCUGGCUUCAGGAGGGGGACAACAGUUGGAAACGACUGCUAAUACCCCAUAUGUCUACGGAUGAAACGGUGAAUUCCGCCUGAAGAUGAGCUCGCGUCGGAUUAGCUAGUUGGUGAGGUAAAGGCUCACCAAGGCGACGAUCCGUAGCUGGUCUGAGAGGAUGAUCAGCCACACUGGGACUGAGACACGGCCCAGACUCCUACGGGAGGCAGCAGUGGGGAAUUUUCCGCAAUGGGCGAAAGCCUGACGGAGCAACGCCGCGUGCGGGAAGACGGCCUGUGGGUUGUAAACCGCUUUUCUCUGGGAAGAAUAAGUUGACGGUACCAGAGGAAUCAGCAUCGGCUAACUCCGUGCCAGCAGCCGCGGUAAUACGGAGGAUGCAAGCGUUAUCCGGAAUUAUUGGGCGUAAAGCGUCCGCAGGCGGCUUAUCAAGUCUGCUGUUAAAGGUCGGGGCUCAACUCCGGUUAGGCAGUGGAAACUGAUAGGCUAGAGUGUGGUAGGGGUAGAGGGAAUUCCCAGUGUAGCGGUGAAAUGCGUAGAUAUUGGGAAGAACACCAGUGGCGAAGGCGCUCUACUGGGCCACAACUGACGCUGAGGGACGAAAGCUAUGGGAGCGAAAGGGAUUAGAUACCCCUGUAGUCCUAGCUGUAAACGAUGGACACUAGGUGUUG
rnacentral:rRNA from 1 species